rnacentral:misc_RNA from 1 species
GAUCAUUAACGAAUUUGAUUAACAUCUUUUUCUGUGAAUUUUUCUCUCUUUCUAGAGAGCAUUGUGCUUCGGCCCUGGUAUUUAAUUACAGGGGCCGGUAGAAAACAUUUUAAACCUUUGUCUAAAACUAAUUAUAUUAAUAAUUAAAACUUUCAACAACGGAUCUCUAGGUUCUCGCAUCGAUGAAGAACGCAGCGAAAUGCGAUACGUAAUGUGAAUUGCAGAAUUUUGUGAAUCAUCGAAUCUUUGAACGCACAUUGCACCUGGUGGUAUUCCGCCAGGUAUGCCUGUUUGAGCGUCAUUUCUCUCUCACCCCGGUGGUUUUGUUCAAUCUCCCUUUACAGGGAGUUGGAUGAAAAGAAAUGGCAAGGCUCUUGAAGCUGAACGUGUUUUAGGUCUUACCAACUACACUACUAAGCUUUUGAAAGUCGGCUUGAUAAUUCUUUCAAUGUUGACCUCAAAUCAGGUAAGACUACCCGCCCGAACUUAACCAUAUCAAUAAGCGGAGGAU